rnacentral:tRNA from 1 species
UGCAGGUUAGUGAAACGGUAUCACGUAGGGCUCAUAAUCCUAAAUUCCUGUUCGACUCAGGGCCUGCCCCCA